UCUCCGUUGGUGAACCAGCGGAGGGAUCAUUAGCGAGUUCUAAACUCCCAACCCUCGUGGACAUACCUACCGUUGCUUCGGCGGGGCGCCCUGAAACGGGGCGCUGCUCCUCUGUGGGCACCCGCCGGCGGCACGCAAACCAAACUCUGCAUUCUGGUUGAAUUCUGAGUGGACUAUAAAUAAGUCAAAACUUUCAGCAACGGAUCUCUUGGUUCUG
rnacentral:misc_RNA from 1 species